UACGUAGGGUGCGAGCGUUGCCCGGAUUUAUUGGGCGUAAAGGGCGCGUAGGCGGCCUUCUAAGUCGAACGUGAAAUCCCCGGGCUCAACCCGGGAACUGCGUCCGAUACUGGAAGGCUUGAAUCCGGGAGAGGGAUGUGGAAUUCCAGGUGUAGCGGUGAAAUGCGUAGAUAUCGUAAGGUAGACCAGUGGCGAAGGCGGGUCUCUGGACAGUUCCUGACGCUGAGGCACGAAGGUCAGGGGAGCAAACGGG
rnacentral:rRNA from 1 species